AUUCUAACAGAGUGUGGUAGCUCAAGCUUGUAGUCCCAGCUGCUUGGGAGGCUGAGGCAGGAGGAUUGCUUGAGACCGAGACGUGGAGGCUGCAGUGAGCCGUGAUCGUACCACUGGGAGAUGGAUGGAGCGAUCGUAUCCCAGCCUGGGUGACGGAGGGAGACCUUGUCUCAAAAAAAAUAAUAAUAAUUUAGAGUUCUCUAGCUUUUUACCAGGUUUUCUCAUUUCUUCUGUGUGGAGGAUGGAUACAAAUUAUCUGUUGACUGAUGCAAAGUAAUAGCACAAAGCAGUACCCUCUGAAGUUGCGGUAGUUUGUGUGUCACCUUUUCCAGAAAGGUUGGAUUUUGUGACUUUGAAUCCCGAGAGUGGGAGUCUUGGCUGUUUCUGGACUGUAGAGUGAGAAGAGGCCGAGAUGUGGUGAUGGCAGGCCAAGUGGAGGGUCAUAGAAGGUGCUGUUUGUGAGACGCCACUGUGUUUCUAAGCUAUUUUUGCCCCAUAGGUUUAACUUCUUUAUUCAGCAAAAACGCGGAUUCAGAAAGGCACCCGGGAAGGUUGAACCUCGAAGAUUAGACACAGGGACAAGUGGUGAAGCAUAUAAGAGAAGUGCUUUGAUUCCUCCCGUGGAAGAAACAGCCCUUUAUCCUUCUCUCUGUCCUAUAAGGACUCUCAUAAAACCAUUAUUUUUUUACUGCUGGGUUUACAGGCUGUGCAUUUGAAUCAGCUGCUAUUUGGUAAUAUGAAUCACUGAAAUCCAGGGUCCAGAGUUAUUUUGAUGGUAUAAAAGCUGAUUGGUUGGCUAGCAUAAGACCAGAAGAAGGAGAUUUCAGAAAGGAGAUUAACAAGUGGUGGAAUAACCUAAGUGGUGGCCAGCGGGCUGUGACAGGUUUGUGUUAGCUUGCACGUUUUCCCCCUUCAAGGGAAGAGGAAUCAAACCAGAAGGAACAGCAUGUCACAGGCGACGGCUUUAGUUCCACGCUCAGCAGUGCUUUGGAAGACACUCUCUGUACCUGUAGGCGAAUGUAAUAGCAUAUAAAGUGGUGAGGGGUGAAGGUGUCUAUGAUGCUGUGGGUCAGUUACUUUCUCAUUUUGAUCGAGUAUGAUACUGAUUGGUUAGUUUUGUUGUAGAAUACCAGCUUGUGGAAUAGCUUAUUACUAAUGAUUACUUCCCUUAUGAAAGAAACUAACGGAAACAUUAAGCACUGCAGGAUGCUGUAAAACACAUUCUGUCCCUACCCAGAGUCGCUUACAGGGUAGCUGGCUCCCUUUUUACCGAUGAGGAAACUGACUUUGAGAGAAGGAACUUUUGAAGGUCAAACUGCUAGUCAGCAGUAGAGCUGAGCUUCAAAACCCAAGUCUGUCUCACUCCAAAGCCAGUUUUCUCUCUUCUCCCCCAGGCUAUUUUUAAGACCCUGUUUAAAUGGAAGCAUGACAUGCAUGUCACCAUAAUAAUUUUUUUUCUUUAUAAAUUGUUAGGGAAAGACAGUUCUGGCUCCUCAAGGUAACACCUCUGCAGUAUUUUACGGACUUAGUUAUUUGAGAAACUUGAAAAUAGAUUUUUGCUAGGAACAGUGGCUCACACAUGUAAUCCCAGCACUUUGGGAGGUUGAGGUGAGCGGAUCCCUUGAGCUCAGGAGUUCGAGGCCCGCCCGGGCAACAUGACAAAACCCU